AGUUUACAAGAAGACGUCACGGCGAGAGGUUGCGAUUGUUUGUAGUCGGCUUCGCAGGAAAACAUACAAAUUCUGUCCUUUGAAUUUCCACAGGAAAAGCCAGGAAAAUCGGAAGAAUUGAAUGGAGUGGGUGUGUUAGGGUAAACCUGAAAGGUUUCUGUUGUGAAUUGUGUACGAAAAAAAAAAGAUCUGAAAUAAAAGAGCGUGAGAAGAAGGAGGCAAAAGAGAGACAAAAGAGUGGUUUUUUGGUUGAUAAAUUUCGCAAAGAAAUUCCCACGAAAAUCGAUUUGAAGGAUUCCUUGCAGAAAAGUGUUCGUUUUGUCCAUUUUCCCAGACGUGUUUUUCUUUUGUUUCGGACACCUUACACCACCUUUUCACAUCCAAAAGGGCGGGCAGUUUUUAUUUGAAAAGCGCGCCAAAUUUUCCCAUUGGACUUUUGAAAAAGUAAUUGAAAAUGUUUUAAGAGAGACUGAAAGUGAAGGAAAAUUGCAGGUGUUCUGAGUAAAAAUCAGAAGAAAAAGAGAGACUGAGAGAGUGUAAGUGAGUGUGAGAAGAGGGUGAAAAGGAAGUGAGAAGAAAAUUUUUGAUAAGAGGCAGAGAAAAAAACAACAAAACAGAAGGAAAAACACUACGAUUUUGGCGACUUUUUGCUCAAAAAAAGGUGAGUUCAACAAGAUAUUCUGUUUAUUUGAAGAAGUAAUCUCGUUCAACAGUAAGUAGAAGAAAUAUAGUCAUCAAUACAUUAAUUUUGAUAUUUGAAAGAGAAUCAGUUAAUGAUACUAUUAUCCUAGACUAACUAUUUUUUUGUAAUUUUGAUUUAUAAUGUACUCUUUUAUGUCGUAAGUUUCGCAAAAUAACUCUAUUAUAACAUACUUACGUAUACUAUAGCAGUUCUACUGAAAGCUCUCAGUAGAGCCCUAAAAUUUUUUUGUUAAUCACCUUCUCUUCAAACUUUGUCCAACAUCAAUUUAGAUUUUUUUUCUUUGCCUACGCCCCAACCAAGAGUGCCAUAUAAAAAAUUGACAUUUUAUACCAA